GCUGGAGUUACUAGUAAUCGCAGAUCAGAAUGCUGCGGUGAAUGCGUUCCCGGGUCUUGUACACACCGCCCGUCACACCACGGAAGUUGGGGGCGCCCGAAGCCACUUAGCUAACCCUUUUGGGAAGCGAGUGUCGAAGGUGAAAUCAAUAACUGGGGUGAAGUCGUAACAAGGUACC
rnacentral:rRNA from 1 species